rnacentral:rRNA from 1 species
UUUUUAUGGAGAGUUUGAUCCUGGCUCAGGAUGAACGCUGGCGGCGUGCCUAAUACAUGCAAGUCGAGCGAACAGACGAGGAGCUUGCUCCUCUGACGUUAGCGGCGACAGGGUGCGU